rnacentral:miRNA from 1 species
UUGGUUAAAGCGCCUGUCUAGUAAACAGGAGAUCCUGGGUUCGAAUCCCAGCGGUGCCUCCGUGUUCUACUGCUUUUGCGAA